ACUAUAGGCAAGUAACUCUAUAACAGGCAAUUCACAUAAUUUGUCUGAGUUUAGUAAUCAUGUAUCACCAUCUUAAACACAGGACUCUGAUUUUCAGUUCAUACACCAUAAGUAAUGUUUAUCCUACCAUCUGAUAUCCAGUCCAAUCAUACAAUCCAAUUCAUAUUACAAUAAACACCUAAUCAAAUCAUGGAAGAGCUAAUAUAACAAAAUUAUUAAAAGGUCAAUCCAUAGUAGAACUGGGGCUUCGAUUUCAUUUCCUGCUCAACAAAUGAAUUUACACUGACUUACUCUCAAGUGUGUACCUGGCAAUAUAAAACAACAAGAGAAACGUGAGAAUCAGUAGCAGCUAGCAGAACCAGGAUUCAUCAGCUUCACAAGGCUCAGGACGAAGGAAAUUUUUCUCAAAUUCAUAAACUCCGGCUCAUCGUGUUAUUCCUAAAUUCGGCCAUGCCUAGGGUGAAUUGAGCUUUAUUGACGAUCUUUUCCUUACGAGGGAGGUCCAGGGACCUUUUGUCAUCAGUUCCAUUCAUUGCAGCCAUUUCAGGUUUUUGGCCGGAAGAAUUGAAACGAAUAUUUAAGUCGUUUCGGACCCAUUCGAGCCAAGCGGCUAUGGGAUUUGUUUAGGGGAUGCCAAGGCGGUCCUGUGGUAUUAUUUUAGGGGUGAUUAGGUUAACCGACGUCAUAGUGGAAAAUCUCUUGAUGAAAAUUCGAGGAUUUCCAGUGAGGUUUGAGGGAAGCCAAAGGCGGGAAUGGGAAAAGGAUGACCUGGGGAAUUCGUGGUAUUAAUUUGGGGUGGUUUGGAGGUGGUAGCGUUCACCGGUUGUGGCUCCGCCAGUGGUGUUACACGGAGAUACGAGGAGGGUGACCUUUGGUCUCUUAUACAACAAAGGGAUUCGGGCAAUUAUAUUGAAACCACAAGAACAAAUGUGGACCAUUGGAUGAAAAGAGAUCGAUGGCUCAGAUCGAAUGGGAAGAAGAACGACAUCAUUUGGCCUUACUCCUGAACGGACCGGGUCAAAGGGUUUGGGCCUAGAUUCGGGUGAAUUAAACUUGGCUGGAUGGGAAAUCAAAAUGACCCAAUUACUUUAGGCAACCUUUUUCUUUGUAUUUCUUUUGUUUUUUCUCUUUCAAUUAUUUUCUCUCUUUAUUUCUCUUGCCUUUGUUUUCAAUUUUUGGUAUUUUUCAUUUUAUAAUUUUGUAUUGUAUUUUCUGAAUUUUAUAAAGAUGUAAAAAUAAAAUAAAAUAAAAAUUCAAACUAAACUAAUUAAUGGCCUAAAAUUACUUUUAAAAUUAUUUUGUGGCAAUUUCCAACAAUAAAAACGCUAAAGUGAACUAUUUUUGUGAUUUUUCAUGCGUUGUUCUAAGAUAAUUUGACCCCUAAUUAAUAUUAAAAUAUAAAAUUAAAUCUUAAAUGCAAAUGCACAUUUUUGUAUUUUUAUGUGAAUUAACGCAUGCAAAUAAAAUGCAAACAAUUAAUAAAAAACGACACAAAAGUUUACAUAAAUUGUAAAAAUAAGGAAAAAUCUUUUUGUUUGAAUUUUAUGGGAAUAAUUCAUAUAUAGGGCAAACAUCACAUGCUCACAGCUUCCCCUCUUUGCUUGGAAAUAUGAAAUAUUUUCAGGCAAAGAUAAGUGAGUAAAUAUGAGCGAUUGUUGCCCGUUUGAAAAUUUCAUGCGAAGCAUUUUUGAAAAUCUUGACCGCACCCUACUUUAGAGGUUGCCUACAUAUCCUGGGUUAAACAGGAAUCGGGUCAGCGUAGUUCGGGAAUGUGUGGUAGCUGGGACUACCAGGAGCUGCGAUUGCUGCUCCUAGUGCUUGCUGACCUUCGUUAUUACACCGUGUCAAAAAUAAAAGAAGCUAGCCUAAGCUAUGAGCUACGAAUUACAAAAUCCUAUCUAAAUUAUUCAAACUUGUUCUUGUACUUCUUUGUUGUCUUGUGGUCUUUUAUUCCCUUGUAAAAGUACAUUGUUGUUACUUCAAAUUGCUAACUGGGAUGUUGUUCCUUCUCUCCAAAUUGUUGAACUUGAGUAAACUUCAACUUGAAGGUAUUCCUCUGUUAUCCAGGCGGGCUCCUGAUUGCUGAACUUGAAAUUGAAUGUAUUCCUUUAUUAUCCAAGCGGACUCCUAAUUGCUGAACUUGAGAUUUAAUGUAUUCCUCUAUUAUCCAGGCGGGCUCCUGAUAGCUGAACUUGAAAUUGAAUGUAUUCCUCUAUUAUCCAAGCGGGCUCCUGACUUCACAAAAAUAGAAAAAAAUAAAGAAAAAUUUCUGCCCCAGUUUGGAAACUGGGUACAUGUUACAUGAUAUUAAUAAGAAUUGAUUAAAACUUGAUAUGAAGUACCUCUGCUCUUCGGCAGGCUCGUGACUGCAACUACAACUUAAAAUAUAGCAGCCUCCAUUCUCCAGGGGGGCUCUUGACUUCAACUACAACUUAUGAUUUAGCACCUCCAUUCUCCAGGAGGACUCCUGACUUCGACUACUUAAAAAUCUAACACCUCCAUUCUCCAGGCGGGCUCCUGACUUCAACUACAACUUAAGAUUGAACACCUCCAUUUUCCAGGCGGGCUUCUAACUUUAACUAUAGCUUUAAUAUAAAUACCUCCAUUCUCCGGGCAGGCUCCUGACCGUUGAAACUUGAAUUGCAUGUCUCUGUUCUCCAGGCGGACUCCUGACUUCUGAAAUUUGAAUUUUGUACCUCUGUUCUCCAAGCGGGUUCCUGGCUUCAAAAUAAAUAAAGAGAUUAAUUGAAAACUAAAACUUGAAUUGUAUCACCUCUAUUCAUCAGGUGGGCUCCUGAUUGCUAAAGCUUGGACUGUAUAUCUCUGUUCUCCAGGCGGAGUCCUAACUACUAAAAUUCAAAAUGCAUGUCUCUGUUCUCCAGGCGAACUCUUGACUAUUGAAAUUUGAAAUGCAUGUUUCUGUUCUCCAGGUGGACUCCUGACUUCAAAAUAGAGAACGAAAUUGAUUGAAAACUAAACAUUUGAAUUGGAUCACCUCUAUUCUUCAAGCGGGCUCCUGAUUGUUAAAACUUGAAUUGUAUGUAUCUGUUUUCUAGGCGGACUCCUGACUUCAACAAAAUAAGCAACCAAAGAAAAUUUUCUGCCCCAGUUUGGAGGCUGAGUGUAGGGGUGAGUGUUAAACUGAAUCAUAUUACCAAAUACUACUAAGAACUGAAGCUAAGUCCUAUUAUCUAGAGUGGUCUUGACAACCUCUAAUAAUUACGAAUCUAAGGUAUUACUCUCACUACAUCAUGUUAUCUACAAGGGUUUUAACUACAUCCUAUUAUUCAGGAAGGUCCUGACAACUCCUAACAAUUAUGAACCAAGGAUAUUACUUCUCGCUAAAUCAUGUUAUCUACAAGGGUAUUUGAACUACGUCUUAUUACCCAGGAAGGUCCUGAAAACUUCUACUUAAAUUUUAUCCUAAACAUGAAAACUUUCAUUUCCAUAUACUAUCCAUGAUUAUUUUGUACUUUAAUCACACCACGUUUUGCGGUCAAACCUGAUUACUGCUUGUUUUUUCCUUUAUGGCGAAUUCCUCCUGAACAACCGACUUUUCUGCCCCUAUUUCAAUCAAAGAAAAUUUUACCAGUUUAAAAUGGUUGUUAGUUGUUGGAAUUCUUGCUGAAAAUCCUUCCACGGCAUUGCUUUAUUUUGACCAGCUUCCACGAACUGACCCUGAACCAAUUGACUUACUGACUUUCCAAAUUCUCCAACCUUUGACAACCUGAAUGUUUUGUACCCAUGUUGUUGUUUCACUUUUCUGACCCUUUCUGUCUAAACCUGUACAUUUCCCACAACAUUUUCCAAUUAUUCCGCCGAUGAAACUUCUGGCGACUUCCCAUAUUUCCUUGCAUCAUGUUGUUGUUAAUAUGCUCUGACCACAUUAUGCUUUACCAUUUUCGAAAGCUGGUAGUGACCUUUGAAAUCCUUUUCAUUUGCAUUGAAAAAAACUAGCACUGAAACAUCUUAAAUAGAUAAAAACCUCAAAAUAAAUGAAAUGCAAUGAUUUUACGAGUUAAGGAUAAGAAGAAUCCAAAACCAGAUGACUGUUAGAAGGAAAAAGAAGAGAACUUAUCUGGCCGGAACAGCUGGCACCAAUGGUCAUGACAUGCAUUUCAGACUAAUUGGCCAAAUCUGUCCAACUAACCAGCUUUCAAUUGCCAUACUUUGUUGCCCUAGAAUUGCUAUCACUUGAUUACUUUACCCAAAACUUAACUUUAUUCAUUUCUUGCGAUGCCUUGAAACAUUUUUCCACCCACAGACCUUUUUCCAAGUAACCACUUCUCAAAUCACUUUCGCCUCAAGGUGCCCACGAGGGUUUUCACCAAUAACACUCUCUCAUUUAUUUUUUUCUCUCAGCUCUCGUAGCCUUGUCGUGCCUAUGAAGGUUUUCACCAAUAAGAUUCUCUCAUUUUUAACUUUGUUCUUCUUGCUUGAACCAGAGUGUUGCCUCUGCCAUGAAUUGCUUCUACCUGCUCAACUUGGCAUUUCUAAAAAACUGAUCAGAUGGUCUUUUUUUGGACCGUAAUGUAGGCUUUUGGAUGGGUUAGGAAGAAGGGUAUAAAAGGCUCAAAAACAAUUUCAAAAUGGGUUACAAUUACAACUUUCGAAAUCCAAUUUCUCACAACCAUCACAAAUUCUGCCCUAGCUUCUUGCUUGGGGACUUUUGAAUUUUUAUUUUGGUGUGAUUAAACCUCAGAGAGGCUACCUACAUACCCUUUCGGGAGCAAGUCAAACGUAGUUCAGUGACUCAUAAUUAACCUUUGUUGUUGUGUUUUUCUUUCUUUUCUUUUCUUUUCUCUUAUUUUUCUCCUUUUCUUUUCUUCUUUAUCUUUUCUUUUCUUUAUCUUUUUCCUUUACUUUUCAUUUUUUUUCCUUUCUCUUCUUUUUUUUUCUUUCUUCUUUUCCUUUUCUUUUCUUUUUGCUUUGCUUUUCUUUUCUAUCUUUUAUGUUCAGCACCUGUGUUCCUUGAUAGUGCCGUUGAUUCUGAAAGAGGGUUAUGAAAAAUAAGUAAGGCUCAAAGGGGAUGACAAGGGAUAAAAGUGUUUGGAUAGCAGAACAAAACGUCUUCGUCAUUUCAUUCUUAAAAAUAUGCCAAAUACAAAUAGAUACAUUCAUAUAAAGAAAUCAUACAUAAUAUCUUUUGACCACAUCAGAAUUGAUGGCCAUUUCUACGCAUUUUCCUUAUGCAUCUGUCAAUUAGAGCGCACCAUUAGAUAACACUCUGAUUACUACAAAUGGCCCCUGCAAAUUCGGGCCAAAUUUUCCUUUUGCUUUAGCGCAAUGAGGCAGUAUCCGUCUUAGUACUGACAGUCUGACUUCGAAUCCUCUGGCGCACUUCCUUAUUGUAUGCUCUUGCCAUUCUUCGUUGGCACAGUUGACCAUGACAUACUGUUGUCAGUCUCUUCUCGUCAAUCAAACUCAACUGCUCAAGGCGGAUUUUCACCCAUUCAUCAUCAUCGAUCUCAGCCUCCACAACGAUUUGCAGAGACGGGAUUUCCACCUCUGCUGGUAUUACUGCCUCGGUGCCAUACAUCAAUGAAUAAGGAGUCACCCCCACUGAAGUACGAACAGUGGUGCGGUAUCCCAACAAUGCGAAAGGCAACUUUUCGUGCCACUGUCUCGAACCUUCCACAAUCUUCUGCAUUAUUUUCUUUAUAUUCUUAUUAGCUGCCUCAACCGCACCAUUGGCCUUAGGAUGGGUAAUCUUGAACUGCUCACAUGUUUCCUUCAUCGGAUGACUAUUGAGUUUCACCCCAUUGUCAGUAGUGAUCACUUUCGGUAUCCCAAAUCGUAAGAUAAUAUUAGAAUGGACAAAAUCCACCACAGCUUUCUUGCUUACAAACUUGAAUCUCUUGGCCUCUACCCACUUGGUAAAAUAGUCUAUAGCUACGAAAAUGAACAUGUGCGCAUUUGACGCUGCUGGUUCAAUUUGCCUAAUAAUAUCCAUGCCCAUGCGACAACAGGCCAUGGUGCGGAUAUCUUAUGUAGUUCUGAUGGCGGAGAAUGAACCAAAUCUCCAUGGACUUGGCACUGAUGGCAUUUACGCACAAAACCGAUACAAUCCCGCUCCAUAGUUAGCCAAUAAUACCUUUCUCGUAGGAUCUUCUUUUCCAAAAACAUAUCCGCUCAUAUGCAGUCCACAGACUCCCGAAUGUACCUAAGUCAUGAUAGAUGUGGCUUUCCUUGCAUCCAUGCACCUCAACAGCCCAAGAUCUGGGGUUCUUUUAUAUAACAUCCUCCACUAAAGAAAAACCCCCUUGCCAAUUGCCGACUUGAUAUUUUUUGAUCACCGGUGGCCUGUUCUGUGUAUACUCCCCUUUUGAUGUAUUCCAUUAUGUCGUGAAACCACGGCUCGCCAUCAAGCUCCUCUUCUACCAUGUUACAAUAAACGUGCUGAUCACGGUCCUGAAUCUAUAAAGGGUCCGUAUAAGCCUUGUCCGGGUGAUGUAAUACUGACGCCAAAGUAGGCAAAGCAUCGGAGACUUCAUUAUGAAUCCUUGGAAUGUGCCCGAAAUCUACCGACUGGAACUGUUGGCAAAGCUCAUACAAACAUUGCUGGUACGGUAUAAGUUUUAAAUCACGUGUUUCCCAUUCUCCUUGAAUUUGGUGUACCAGUAGGUCCGAGUCACCCAUGACCAAGACUNNNNNNNNNNNNNNNNNNNNNNNNNNNNNNNNNNNNNNNNNNNNNNNNNNNNNNNNNNNNNNNNNNNNNNNNNNNNNNNNNNNNNNNNNNNNNNNNNNNNNNNNNNNNNNNNNNNNNNNNNNNNNNNNNNNNNNNNNNNCUCAACUAGCUGAAUCUCAACCCCAAGAUACACGCCUCAUACUCUGCCAUGUUGUUUGUACAAUAAAAACAAAGCUGAGUGGUAAUAGGGUAGUGCUGACCCAUUUCAAAAAUAAGUACCGCUCCUAUUCCCACGCCUUUCAUAUUUGCAGCCCCAUCAAAGAAGAGUUUCCAUCCCAGCUUCUCAUCUUGCUCCAAUUAUUCAAUUUGCAUCACCUCUUUAUUAGGGAAAUAAGUUUUCAAAGGUUCAUAAUCUUUAUUGACUGGAUUCUCAACCAAAUGAUCAGCUAAUGCCUUUGCUUUCAUCGUUGUCCUUGUCACAUAGAUAAUGUCGAACUCUAUAAGCAGGAUCUGCCAGUUUUCAAGCCUACCUGUAGGCAUAGGCUUCUGAAAAAUAUACUUCAAUGGGUCCAAGCAAGAUUUGAGGUAAGUAGUGCAGGAAGACAAAUAAUGUUUCAACUUCUAUGCCACCCAAAUUAGGGCGCAACACGUCCUCUCCAGAUGAGUAUACGAUAACCUCGUAAGAUGUGAACUUCUUGCUGAGAUAAUAGAUUGUCUGUUCUUUUUUGCCCGUAACAUCAUGCUGCCCUAGUACACAACCAAACGAAUUAUCCAAAACCGUCAGAAAUAGAAUCAACGGCCUCCCUGGUUCUGGAGGGACCACCAAUGGUGGGUUCGACAAAUACUCCUUUAUCUUAUCAAAAGCCUCUUGAUAUUCAUUAGUGCAUUUAACUACAACAUCUUUCUUUAACAAUUUGAAAAUCGUUCACAAGUUGUUGUGAGCUGAACAAUGAACCUACUGAUAUAAUUCAAUCUUCCCAACAAACUCAUCACCUCAGUUUUGUAUCUUGGAGGCGGCAAUUCCUAAAUAGAUUUGAUCUUGACGGUUCUAUCUUAAUACCUCAACGACUGAUUAUAAACCCCCAACAACUUCCCAGAUGGCACCUCAAUAGCACAUUUUGCAGGAUUGAGCUUAAGAUUCUACCUGCGAUGCCUUUGAAAUUUUUUUUGUCAAAUCCUUGACAUGGUCGGACUGCUGUCAAGACUUCACGAUCACAUCAUCCAUAUACACCUCAAUUUCCAUAUGUAUCAUAUCAUGGAAUAUUGUUGUCAUUGCCCUCAUAUAAGUUGCCACAGCAUUUUCAAACCAAAUGGCAUGACCCGAUAACAGUACAUUCCCCACACCGUGAUGAAUACCAUCUUUUCUGUAUCUUCCUCGUCCAUUAAGAUCUGAUGAUAACCUGCGUAACAAUCCACAAAAGAGCCAAUAUCUUGUUUGGCACAAUUUUCAAUAUGUAUGUGGAUGUUGGGCAAUGGAAAAUUGUCAUCUGCUCUAGCCUUGUUAAGGUCCCGAUAAUUGACACACACCCUAGUCUUGUCAUCUUUCUUAGCUAACCAGGUGGGAUAUCGUGUAACCCGAAUGACCUUGGCAUCAAACUACUUGGUAAUCUCUUCUUUGAUCUUCACACUUAUGUCCGUCUUGAACUUUCUUAGCUUCUGCUUGAAAGGAGGGAGUAUCGUAUCAGUGGUCAAUUUGUUAACCCCUAAAUCGGUGCUUAGACUUGGCAUAUCAUCAUACGACCAUGCAAAAAGAUCCUUGUAUUCAAACAAUGCUUUAAUUAUCUCCUCCUUGACUUUGGCACUAGAUGAACACUCACUUUAGUUUCCCGCACAUUAUAUUGGUCCCCUAGAUUAACUGCUUAUGUGCCAUUUAGGUUAGGUUUGGGUUUUUCUUCAAAAUGACUUAAUUCUUUACUAAUUUCCUCAUAUAGGCCUCAUCAUCAUCACAUUCCACUUCGUCAUCACACUCGAUUUCUUGUAUUAUUAUUUCUAAGUUAGAUUGGCUUACAAGAUUGCGCCGAAGAUUCCUCAUGCAUGUCAUGUCAUUGAUAUCAGCAUAAAAAGAACUGUAUAGAAAGGAAAAGAAAGAAAAAAAUGGCAAUGGAAUUAGGAAUAAAGAAAGAAGGAAAAUUGCAUUUCAUUAAAUGUAAAGAUCACAUGGUAUUAACUCAUCCAAACGGACGGAAUAUAGCAACUGAAUUACAAACCCUAGAAUAAUCCAGGUGAAAAAAAGAAAAACAAAAUCCACUACCACGACUAAAACUGGGUCGAAGAUUCCUAGUGCAUGUCAUGUCAUUGAUAUCAGCAUAAAAAGAACUGUACAAAAAAGAAAAGAAAGAACAAAAAGAUAUAAAAAAAUUAGGAAUAAAGAAAGAAGGAGAAUUGCAUUUCAUUAAAUGUAAAGAUAACAGGGUUUUAACUCAUCCAAACGGACAAAACAUAGCAACUGAAUUACAAAUCCUAGAAUAAUCCAGGUGAACAAAAGGAAAACAGAACCCACUACCAUGACUCCCUCAGAGUUGGAAGAGGAAUAGCUUCAAAAUUGUUGAUUUUAGCACGUGGUCUGAUCUGUUGGAUAUCUUCUUUGCUCGACCCUUCCCUUGCCUCAACUAUGUUCACCUCAGAAAAUACCCUAUCGAACACUUUAUCAAAGUUCACCUCUGCACCAAUCAGUGGACCUAACACCUUUGUCAAUAACUACCUUUUGAUACCCGGCCUGACGAAGGACCUGGACAGGCGUGAAAUUGGUUUGGGAACAACCCAAGCUUUCUUUUUCAAUUUACGAGCCCUUAUAACAUAUGCUGCUGUUGGCUUGAACCCUAACCCGAAGGUUUCGAGAUUCUUGGGCAAAGCAAUACGUUGAACAAUGCCCUGAAGCUCAGGCCCCCGGCCUUUCCCUGGCACGAACCCAUUACCCAGCCUUUCUGAUACCACCAUAACGGUCCCAGCUUCCACCCUAGGACGUAGGGAUGCUUUUACCUUCUGUCACUCUUCUCACCAGGAUUGUUUCAAAGACUUGAUAAACCCAUGGCCCUUUAUAAUCAUCAGUUUCUAUAAAAGGCACAACGGCGUCACUUACAGCGCAUGUAGGAUCUUCCCCAUGUAACACAAUUUCUUGUUUGUCCCACUCAAACAUGACCAUUUGGUGCAAUGUGGAAGGCAUUGCCUUGGCCGCGUGGAUCCAUGGUCGAUCCAACAAAAGAUUGUAAGAUACUGAAGUGUCCAAUACCUGAAAUUCCAUAGUGAACUCAACUGGGCCAAUAGUCAAUUAAAGUAUAAUGUCCCCUACUAUGUAUGUUCCUCCCCCAUCGAACCCUCGAACACAAACACAAUUUUUGUGGAUUCUAUCAUCAUCAAUCUUCAACUUGUUUAGUACCCGUUAUCGAUCAACACCCUAGUAACCAUCGAAUUGUCACACAUGACCGUCAAAUAGAGAGCUUUGUUGUGUUCUGUUCCCUCCACGGGCAAUUCAUCAUCAGAAAAUGUUACUAUGUUCACCUCAAAUUUCUUGUUGGAAAUUUCCUCCAUAUGAUUCACUGAAAUUUUAUCAGGCACACGAGCAUCAUUCAAUAUCUUCAUCAAAGCCCAGCGAUGCUCGUCCGAGUGGAUCAGUAAUGUUAACAACGAUAUCUAAGCCAUUGUUUUUCUCAGUUGUUCAACAAUAGAGUAAUCCUAUACUUUCAUCUUUUUCAAAAGUUCCCCCGCCUCUUCUUCUGUCACAUCCUUCUUGACCAAUACUGUAUUGUCUUUAGUGGCCCUGGCUUUUCUCAGCUCUUCGGGAGCAAAACAACGUCAUGACCGAGUUAAUCCCCGUGCUUCACAACUUUCUUCCUCAAUUUCCUUUCAUUUGUAUGUCACCACUACCUUCUCAUAUUUCCACGGCAGGACUUUGCUAUUGACCACGGGUAAUUGGGCUAUCAGCUUUAUGAUGACUGGUUCUAUGCAGGACCUUUUCACAACAACCACGUGCACAGAUGAUGCCCCUGGUACCACUAACUUGGUUGGCUCUGGCUUCUUUAUGCCGACGAACGACCCAUUCCCCAUCACCACCACUGGCUUGUCAUUUAUUUCCUUUGGCUGAAUUGCUGGCUUUACCUCAACCGCUUUUUAUUUCCUUGGCUUCCAUAGAAUGGAUCAUCAUGACUGACUACAAGGGCUUUUUAGGCUCUGCUCCCUUAUGUAUUUGUUCAGUCGUGUUAGUCUUGUGGUGCGGUGGUAACGGGUUUUGGUUAAUGUUCGACGCCCCGGAGCCUGUACCUCAAUACGGAGAUUAUCAAUGAGUUCCUGCACCGCGUUCAAUUUCUAACACUUCUCAGUAUCAUUCCCCGACAUCCCUGAGCAAUACUCAUAGCUAACAGAACGGUCCAGGUUUCUGGGAAGGAGAUUCGGUACUUUGAGCUCGAUUGGGGUCAACAUUCCCAACUAUUUCAAUCUGUGGAAAAGAGUGGUGUAAGACUCUCCCAAUGGAGUAAAUGUUUUUCUGUUUGGGACCUUCUCACUUCUGAAAUCUUGGUUUGGGCGAAAGCCGGUUCCUUGUCUAUUAGCCCUGGGAGGUGAAUAGGUGUUUUAUGGAGGUGGAUAUGUGUUUUGGGGAGCCAGUGCACGCCAUUGCGGGUGAGCUGGAGGCUGAGUAUAUGUCUGGGCAUGGUGGACGGAAAAGUGUGGCUCUGGUGGUGGGUAGUAAUGUUGUGGUGGGCCAUAUGGGGUGUACUGGUAAUUUGGGUGGUAGGGUCUAGGUUGGUUGUAGUAGGGUGGAGGGAUUUUGGACUUAGACCAAGUACUAGCUUCAACUGCGGAAGCUUCUUCCUUCUUUUUCUUUCCAAGCACACCACCUAUACCGUUUUGGAUGGCAUGAGUGGUUGCUUUCAAUGCCAAAUAGCUAAAGAUUUUGUUAGCCUUCAACGUCGCAUCCGUCUUCAGGACGAUAUAGCCAUAAAGAUGCACGUCUUAGUGGGGCCUCUUCAAUCAUGGCUCCCAUAUUUACCACUUCAUAAAAUAAUUUUCCAACAGACAUCACUAGAUGACCAAAGUAGGUCGGCUCCAAUGUCCGCAAGAAGUAAUCUACCAUCUCACUCUCCCUCAUCGGAGAAUCAACUCUUGCUGCUUGUUCUCUCCAGUGGAAACCAAAUUCUCUAAAACACUCCCCGGGUUUCUUCUCUAGCUUCAACAAUGAUAGACGAUCGGGGACUAUCUCAAGAUUAUACUAAAAGUGUCCAAUGAAUGCUUGUGCCAAAUCAUCCCAUGUAUACCAUCGGCCAGGAUCCUGUCUCGUGUACCAUUCCAGUGUAGACCCGCACAAACUUUGACCGGAAUAGGCUAUCCGCAAUUCAUCCUUCCCCCUAAGCUCCUCUCAUUUUUCUAUAGAAACCUCGGAGGUGGGCCACCGGGUUGCCAUGUCCCUCGUACAAAUCAAACUUGGGAAUUUUGAAACCUGCGGCCAACUGGACAUCAGGGAAAGGGCUUAAAUCUUCGUAAGCAACACUAAUUUGGCUGCCUCAACUGUGCAUGUUCCUGAAGGAUUGCUCCAGGAUUUUGACUUUAUGAACCACCUCCUUCGGUUCCGCAUUCUUAAUUGGUUUCUCAACUUCUCUCGGAAUCUCAAAAUGGGGUUUAUAGGUGUAUGGCUCAGGAGCUUUAAAAGUGGGUUCAGGAGGGUAAUAUUGGGUGUCGUGAGCUUGGAGUAGCGGCUCAAUGGAAGACCUUUGUAAUCUGGCUGGGGGAGGUGCCACAAAGACUGGAACCAUGAGUGGAGAAGGGUUCUGUUUGGGGUGGUGGAGCUGGAGGAGUGUAUGAAGUGGUACCAUAGCCCUGGGUGUGAUAGGGGAAUGAUGGAGAUGUGUUAGGAGUAGGAGUCUCCUGAGCCUGCACUAGAGGUGGGAUAUAGAAUGGGUUGGCAGGGUACGAAGGUGCCGAGUACCCCUAAGACCAAGCUUGGUACAUUUCAGCUAUAUGCGCCUUCAACUUCCUCAUCUCUUCUUUCAUAGCUCCCACAUCUUUCACCUCGGCUUCUUUUGUAGGGUCCACAAUACUGGAAUCAAAUUAUUUUCCUAUCAUAUUAACUUUGGACCGGGUGUUGUACGAGUGAGUUACCAGAAUGCCGGAUCAACUAACCACAUGUCUGUACUCACAUUUGGACAACAACUUCAUCAAUGGUUAGGCUUUAACAGAUUGGAUAACUGCACGUUGGCAUGAAUGCACUUAUACAGUUAACCAUCUCUAUUAUGCAUUUUCUUGACUGCAUGCGUCAUCCCGGCCUUUUAUGAUUUUGCGUCACAACUUUCUUUUCAUUUCUCUUUUCCCUCUCUUCGUAAGCAACACUAAUUUGGCUGCCUAAACUGUGAGAAUCAAACCUGCGUAGUUCGGACAAAUUAACUGAACUAUUUUAAAACAUGACUCUUUUUGAUUUUUGUUUUGGCAGCAAAUAACAAAACCACGUUCAAAGCAUGAAUAUUUUUAUUUUUAUUUUUGGCAUUUCAUAAACAAAUAAAAAACUAUUUUUUUAAAAAACUUUUUUUAUUUUCAUAUUUCAUGGCAAGACAAACUAUUUUCCUUUUCUAUUUUUGAAAACAAGACAAAAUAAGGACUCCUUUUUUUCCUUUUUUUUCAACAAAAAAUAAAACAACCUAUUUUUUCCAAGGUAAAAACAAAGACUCUUUUCUCUUUUUCUACUAACAAUAAAUCAACCUAUUUUCCAAUCUAAAAAUAAAGACUCUUUUCUUUUUCUUUUUCUGAAAACAGCCUAUUUUCGUUUCCGUUGGCAAAUAAACUAUUUUGAAAAUAAGAAAAUCCAAAAAUAAAGACUCUUUAUUUUCAUUUUCCCCAGCAAAAUAGACUUUUUUCCUAUUCUAUUUUUUGAAAACAAGACAGAAUAACAAUUUUUUUUUAUAUUUUUCCUUUGCUAUUUGGUAAAACAAACUAAUAAAAUAUUUUUUCAUUUUCGGUAUAGUUCGACAGCAUUUGGACAUUGGGUUUUCCAAUAUAAUCAAUUAAUUCCCUAACCGCUAUUUUUCUUAUUUUUUUCUUCUCCUCAAUUUCACAAUACUCCCGAUAUUCAAAAACCAGUCAGCAUGUGGGUUUGAGACAAAUAAAUGCAUGGAAAACAAAUAGGAUGCAUUAGGAUGGUCUUUUCAUUUCAGGUUGCUAGUCCUAGACGGACCCAACCCCUGUGUUGAGUCCCCUAAGUCUAAAUGCACAUGAUGCAAAUAAGCGUUCCUACUAGGGAUCCAACAUGAGGUUAGUUAUUCUAGGUUCAAAACCUAGGUGUUUGUUCUAGACCUGGCUUACCCGAGCGAACAGCUCGAGCCGAGGAAGACGUCCCCUAAGUCAAACGCAACGUGAUGAAAAUAAGAGUUCCUACUAAGGAUCCGGAUGAAGUCACCUUAUUCUAUGUUCAAAACCCGCGUCGGUGUUGUGUACCUGAGCGGACAACUCGAGUCGAGGAGUGGGCAACUUUCCGGGAACCUAAAGGCCAUCCGGCUUAGUAACUUGUCCGAGCCUCUUUCUUAUUUCAGGGGGCAUGACACUAACAGAAUAGGGAGUCUCAAAACCAAUAAGCACAUCCCCGGAGGUGAAGAGAGAAGAGGGUCUUCACAGUUUAUAUACAGUUCAGAUAAUAUCAAAGCGGUAACAUUUAGCACAUUAAGCAUGAAACAUGUAGGAAAAUCAUAUAUAUCCAAAUACACCAAUUUAUCUAAGCUAAAAUUUUGAACCUUGAACAAAACACUCUGGGUUCUUUUCCAGAGCAGAGUCACCAGAGCUGUCACACCUCCUUUUCACCUACACCCCACAAAGGGGCGUAAAUGUGUUUUCCAAUUAAAGGACAGUCGAAACGGAAUUUGGUUAUUAAUUAUUCAUAGUCGGCACUUGGAAAAUUAAUGGUGUCCAAAGUCACCAGUUGAAUCCCGAACCAACUCUGUUACAGUCCGUGAACCAGAAAUCCGGAUAAGGAAUUCUGUUAACCCGGGAGAAGGUGUUAGGCAUUCCCGGGUUCCGGGGUUCUAGCGCGGUCACUUAACUACAGUAUUUGAUUUUAUCUGAUUUUAAUAUGCUAGCCUAUGUGCCUUUUAUUUGUAAACCGCUUUUAUCAUUGUUUAUUUUUAAAGAAUUGCGACGUCGUGAAAACGCGUUUCGGACCUCGCUGCAACCAAUGCAUCCGUGGUUGUCAACACAUUUCGACUUUAUUGAGAACUGGAUUUGGGUCGCAUCAAUGCGCACCCGAGUUUAGGAAGUAAAUUAAUUAUGUCGCGCCUAAAGGUUCUAACGUAUUAUUAUUCUAGGAAAUACCGUUAAACAACCUUCCAAAUUCUGAUAAUUUUUAAUAACUGUUUAUUUAGGGGCCCACAUUUAUUUUAGUUCGAUGAGGCUCGUCUCAAUUUGUGAACCUCUUUUCUCCAUUAUUUAUUUUAUAAGACUUACGAUGUCGUGAAAAAGCAUUUCGAACCCCAUCGCAAUCAAUGAGGCUGCGAUUUUCAACACGUUUCGACUUCAUCAAGAUUUGGAUUUGGGUCGCAUCAAUGCGCAACUGAAUUUAUGAAAGCAAAUUAUUAAAGACGUGCCUAAAGAUUCUAGCAUAUCAUUAUUUUGGGGAAGACCGUGAAAUUCACUAAACGGCCUCCAACAUUCAAAUUAUUUUAUAUAACCAUUCUUGAGGGCCCCGACUUUUAAAAUUUUAUUUGGCGAGUUUCGUCUCAUCAUUUUAUUUAAAAAACUACUCCUAAAGUGACUACGAUUUUUCUAUUUAUUUUGUCUCUAAAAAAAACAAAAGCAGAAGUCCUAAAUAAUUAUUGUUGAGCUAUUAUACUUUUAGAGAAGCAGGACUUGUAUUCAGCCCUAUAAGGAGACAUCGCUAAUCUCAAAAUCAGCCUAGCCUGAAAGCAGGCCCAAUCUUGUAUUAUUGUUGCAACUGGACUGCCUGCGUGGCCCAGUUUUCUUUUACAAAUCUACAAAAAAAUGCAGUCUCAAACAGAAAAUCAGGACCAAAGUAACGAAAGCGUUAUUGUAUUAAAAAUAAACUAACGCCUAUAAAUCAAAGACGUGAAUCCAGUGAUUAAUCAUCUACCAAAAUUUGUCAUCGAUCAAACAGCAUUUCAACUUUAAGUUGGUACUCAGCCUUAGCAGUAACCUAAAGAGCAGGCCUAAAUGCAAUGAUUGGAGUUAGCAAGCAUAUUUAUUAGAAUGAUUUGAGUAUCUAGCCUAAAUGUUAUAACCUUCACACGUAGUGAAAAACUUACUUAACAUUUCAAAUAACUCCUUUAACGAUUAAAUACCCAACAAAUACUGAAACUCAUUACUAUAGGCAAGUAACUCUAUAACAGGCAAUUCACAUAAUUUGUCAGAGUUUAGUAAUCAUGUAUCACCAUCUUAAACACAGGACUCUGAUUUCCAGUUCAUAGGCCAUAACUAAUAUUUAUCCUACCAUCCGAUAUUCAGUCCAGUCAUACAAUCCAAUUUAUAUUAUAAUAAACACCUAAUCAAAUCAUAGCUAAUAUAACAAAAUUAUUAAAAGGUCAAUCUAUAGUAGAUCUGGGGCUUCAAUUUUAGUUCCUGCUCAACAAAUGAAUGUACAUUGACUUAGUCUCAAGUGUGUACCUGCUAGUAUAAAACAACAAGAGAAACGUGAGAAUCAGUAGCAGCUAGCAGAACCAGGAUUCAUCAGCUUCACAAGGCUUAGGAAGAAGGAAAUUUUUCAACCAAAAUACACUGAUUCUACUCAAACUAAACCAGGAAGUCACAUAACAUCGUCUAGCAGUCAAAAAUACUCAGAGAUAGCUCCAACAAACCACCAAACAACUCCAAAUGCUUUUGAAAACUCGAGUUUAAAGCAGAAGUGAAGAAAAUCAAAAAGGAAUUUGAAAAUGUCCUAAAUAAGCAAUGGAACAGUAGAAUGUUUUUUAUUUUUCUGUUUUCUGUUGUUUUUAUUAUUUAUUUUUUUUUGGCAUUUUUUUAAAACUAAAAAGCUACUUCAAAUAUGAAAUCUAUAAUGGCCAGAGUUUUUUGGAGCUAAUAAUGGCUGAAAGUGGAACCCCCUCCCCAAGGAAAAUGCCUCACUAUUUAUAGGUGAACUAAGAUUUAAAAAUUGCCUCUUAGGCCCCUCCCUUUUUUGAUAUUUACCCCCUUUAUUUUUAACUUCUGCACAAGUAACUGCCUCACAUUAGAAAAAAACCAAUUUGACCUUGUUCUAGAAUAUUCUAGGAAGUUCUACUAGUUGCUACUAGGACUGUUUUACGAGAAAAACCUAAACUGCCCCCUCUUCUUAAUUAGAAUUACCUACCUCUUGUCAAUUAAACCAAACUUUAAUAAGUAUACUAAUUCAUCAUGCCAAAUCCUCAAUUAACAACCUUAAGAAAUUAUUCGGAUAACUCUAAUCACCUAGAACUAAAGGAAAUCUACUGAAGUAAGCAAACUGUGUUACCUGAAGCCAAAAAAAACCAAUAUAACCUACAAAUUUAACUAAUCAAUACGUAAUGUAAAAGAACUAUAAUAGAGAUUAAUACUAACUCAAAAAAAAAUGAAGGACAUCUACUGAAUUAAAGCGACUCAAUUAGAAACAACGGUCAAACUAAAUUCUAAUCUUGACUGAAAUAAGAUGAAAGAGAUUAUAUCGAACAAAUAACAAAUGGAACCAAAUAAACACCAAACAAACCCAUAGACUCUAACUAGCAAAACAACUAAUUAACAACUGCUUAAGAAGCCUAGGAAAACUUACUGAUGAAAUAAACUUCGGCUAGUCGUGUUAAUCACAAAUUCGGCCAUGUAUAGGGUCAAUUGAGCUUUAUUGACGAUCUGUUCCUUACGAGGGAGGUCCAGGGACCUUUUGUCAUCAGUUUCAUGCACUGUGUCCAUUUAAUAUUUUUGUCUUGAAGAAUUGAAAUUAAUAUUUGAGCCGUUCCGGCUACAUUCGAGCCAAGCGGCUAUGGAAUUUGUGUAGGGGAUGCCAAGGCGGCCCUAUGGAGUUAUUUUGGGGUGAUUGGGUUAACCGGUGUCAUGGCUGGAAAAUCUGUUAAUGAAAAUUCGAGGAUUUUCGGUAAGGUUUGAGGAAAGCGAAAGGCGGGAAUGGGAAGAGGAUGACCUAGGUAAUUUGUGGUGUUAAUUUGGGAUGGUUUGGAGGUGGUAACAUUCACUGGCGGCGGCUCCGCCGAUGGUGUUACAAGGAGAUAGGAGGAGGGUGGCCCUUGGUCUCUGAUACAAUGAAGGGCUUCAGACAAUUAUAU
rnacentral:lncRNA from 1 species